rnacentral:rRNA from 1 species
GACGAACGCUGGCGGCGCGCCUAACACAUGCAAGUCGAACGAGCGAGAGAGAGCUUGCUUUCUCGAGCGAGUGGCGAACGGGUGAGUAACGCGUGAGGAACCUGCCUCAAAGAGGGGGACAACAGUUGGAAACGAUAGCUAAUACCGCAUAACAGUAUUUACCGCAUGGUAGAUAUUUGAAAGGAGCAAUUGCUUCACUAUGAGAUGGACCUGCGUUGUAUUAGCUAGUUGGUGAGGUAACGGCUCACCAAGGCUUCGAUACAUAGCCGACCUGAGAGGGUGAUCGGCCACACUGGGACUGAGACACGGCCCAG